CUUCUCGUGGUGUAGUUGGCAACACGACUGUCUGGUGAGUAGGUGUCGUAAGUUCGAGUCUCACCGAGAGGA
rnacentral:tRNA from 1 species